CCUCCCCCUUCCCCUUUUUCACAAUGGCCCCGGGAAGUAGGCCCCAUUCUCAGGGCGCCUCCAAAGUAGGAUCUACUCCUCUCCCAGGCUGUUACCCCAUGAGGAGGAGGAGGAGGAGGAGGACAGCCCGUCCUCGACUUACAACAGGAGAGAGAACUUGCUGGAGUCAAGGGACAUUUUUCUAUCUAUAUUCCUUCAUUUUACAAAUCAGAAGUCUGAACGGGAUCAGAUAAUCUCUUGUUGGCAGAUGAGAUGAUGAUGCAAAGUGGGUGGAGAUCCAUGGAUCACCAACCUUGCAAGUAUUUGGAGGGGAUUUUUUUUAAAAAAGGUUUUGCUUUCAUUUAUAAGCUCUUUUCAAUUGUUUUAAUUGGCAACACCUUUAGAGGCUAUUAAGGUCUCUGAAUUGCAUGCAA